AAAGGCGGGCUAAUACUGGAUAGAGCGACGGAAUCCGUAAUUGGGUUUUUCGGGAAAGGGAGGAGCAAUCCCCCUUGCUUUGGGAUGGGCCUGCGUCCCAUCAGCUAGUUGGUAAGGUAAUGGCUUACCAAGGCGAUGACGGGUAGCUGGUCUGAGAGGAUGAUCAGCCACACUGGAACUGAAACACGGUCCAGACUCCUACGGGAGGCAGCAGUGGGGAAUCUUGCGCAAUGGACGAAAGUCUGACGCAGCCACGCCGCGUGAGUGAAGAAGGCCUUCGGGUUGUAAAGCUCUGUCGGAAGGGACGAAAAGCAUUAGGGUUAACAGCCCUAGUGCCUGACGGUACCUUUAAAGGAAGCACCGGCUAACUCUGUGCCAGCAGCCGCGGUAA
rnacentral:rRNA from 1 species